rnacentral:rRNA from 1 species
AUUGAACGCUGGCGGCGUGCCUAACACAUGCAAGUCGAGCGGUAACAGGUGUAGCAAUACAUGCUGACGAGCGGCGAACGGGUGAGUAAUGCUUUGGAAUCUUCCCAGUAGUGGGGAAUAACCAGUCGAAAGAUUGGCUAAUACCGCAUACGUCUGAAAAGGGAAAGCGGGGGCUCGUAAGACCUCGCGCUAUUGGAUGAGCCAAAGUCGGAUUAGCUAGUUGGUGGGGUAAUGGCCUACCAAGGCGACAAUCCGUAGCUGGUCUGAGAGGACGACCAGCCACACCGGAACUGAGACACGGUCCGGACUCCUACGGGAGGCAGCAGUGGGGAAUAUUGGACAAUGGGGGAAACCCUGAUCCAGCGACGCCGCGUGUGUGAAGAAGGCCUGCGGGUUGUAAAGCACUUUUAGUGGGGACAAAAAGCUACGGACUAAUACUCUGUGGUCUUGAUUUAACCCAAAGAAAAAGCACCGGCUAACUCUGUGCCAGCAGCCGCGGUAAUACAGAGGGUGCGAGCGUUAAUCGGAAUUACUGGGCGUAAAGCGCGCGUAGACGGUUUUGUAAGUCAGAUGUGAAAUCCCUGGGCUCAACCUGGGAACUGCAUUUGAGACUGCAU